rnacentral:rRNA from 1 species
AACGAACGCUGGCGGCGUGCCUAAUACAUGCAAGUCGAACGCACAGCGAAAGGUGCUUGCACCUUUCAAGUGAGUGGCGAACGGGUGAGUAACACGUGGACAACCUGCCUCAAGGCUGGGGAUAACAUUUGGAAACAGAUGCUAAUACCGAAUAAAACUCAGUGUCGCAUGACACAAAGUUAAAAGGCGCUUUGGCGUCACAUAGAGAUGGAUCAGGGGUGCAUUAGGUAGUUGGUGGGGUAAAGGCCUACCAAGACAAUGAUGCAUAGCCGAGUUGAGAGACUGAUCGGCCACAUUGGGACUGAGACACGGCCCAAACUCCUACGGGAGGCUGCAGUAGGGAAUCUUCCACAAUGGGCGAAAGCCUGAUGGAGCAACGCCGCGUGUGUGAUGGAGGCUUUCGGGUCGUAAAGCACUGUUGUAUGGGAAGAACAGCUAGAAUAGGGAAUGAUUUUAGUUUGACGGUACCAUACCAGAAAGGGACGGCUAAAUACGUGCCAGCCGCCGCCGUAA